CUUAUAGCUUAUAGUGAAACAUUUUUAAAGAUUUAUAUCUACCUUAUAUUCUUUGAGUAUAAUUUGUUACAUAAAGCCCCUUCGAAACGUGGAACGCCAGAAGCUCUUUCAAAGGCUGACAAUAGGCCAAUUUAAUCCGAUCUAAGAAAAUUCAAAUUGACGUUGACGAAACCUCGAUAAUACGAACGAACCUCAGAAAACUCGGAAAAAUGAAACAAAUCCUAAAUUGUAGUCCUUUCGAAUAUAUACUAGUCGAAGAUUGAUAGUGGAUUCUUCGAAUCGGGCAAGGAAUACGAAACAUUUU
rnacentral:misc_RNA from 1 species